rnacentral:rRNA from 1 species
CCCGCUGAACUUAAGCAUAUCAAUAAGCGGAGGAAAAGAAACUAACAAGGAUUCCCCUAGUAACUGCGAGUGAAGCGGGAAGAGCUCAAAUUUGAAAUCUGGCGGCUUCGCCGUCCGAGUUGUAUUCUGGAGAAGCGUUUUCCGUGCUGGACCGUGUACAAGUCCCUUGGAACAGGGCGUCGUAGAGGGUGAGAAUCCCGUCUUUGACACGGACUGCCAGUGCUCUGUGAUGCGCUCUCGAAGAGUCGAGUUGUUUGGGAAUGCAGCUCAAAAUGGGUGGUAAAUUCCAUCUAAAGCUAAAUAUUGGCGAGAGACCGAUAGCGAACAAGUACCGUGAGGGAAAGAUGAAAAGCACUUUGGAAAGAGAGUUAAACAGUACGUGAAAUUGCUGAAAGGGAAACGCUUGAAGUCAGUCGCGUUGGCUGGGAAUCAGCCUUGCUUUUGCAUGGUGUACUUUCUGGUUGACGGGUCAGCAUCAAUUUUGAUCACUGGAAAAGGCUCAAGGGAAUGUGGCAGCUUCGGCUGUGUUAUAGCCCCUGUUCACAUACAGUGGUUGGGAUUGAGGAACUCAGCACGCCGCAAGGCCGGGUUUCGACCACGUUCGUGCUUAGGAUGCUGGCAUAAUGGCUUUAAGCGACCCGUCUUGAAACACGG